rnacentral:rRNA from 1 species
GUAAUUUGCAGAGGAUGCUUCGGGAACGGCCCCCAUCUAAGUGCCCUGGAACGGGCCGUCAUAGAGGGUGAGAAUCCCGUCUGGGAUGGGGUGGCCGCGCCCGUGUGAAGCUCCUUCGACGAGUCGAGUUGUUUGGGAAUGCAGCUCUAAUUGGGUGGUAAAUUUCAUCUAAAGCUAAAUAUUGGCCGGAGACCGAUAGCGCACAAGUAGAGUGAUCGAAAGAUGAAAAGCACUUUGAAAAGAGAGUUAAACAGCACGUGAAAUUGUUGAAAGGGAAGCGCUUGCGACCAGACUCGCCCGCGGGGUUCAGCCGGCACUCGUGCCGGUGUACUUCCCCGCGGGCGGGCCAGCGUCGGUUUGGGCGGCCGGUCAAAGGCCUCUGGAAGGUAACGCCUCUCGGGGCGUCUUAUAGCCAGGGGUGCCAUGCGGCCUGCCCGGACCGAGGAACGCGCUUCGGCUCGGACGCUGGCAUAAUGGUCGUAAGCGACCC